CGUGCAGGCGGCCUAUUAAGUCAGAUGUGAAAUCCCUCGGCUCAACCAAGGAACUGCAUCUGAAACUAAUAGGCUUGAGUACGGGAGAGGAGAGUGGAAUUCCCGGUGUAGAGGUGAAAUUCGUAGAUAUCGGGAAGAACACCGGUGGCGAAGGCGGCUCUCUGGACCGAUACUGACGCUGAGACGCGAAAGCGUGGGGAGCAAACA
rnacentral:rRNA from 1 species